rnacentral:rRNA from 1 species
GAUUCGUCACACUAUCAUUAACUGAAUCCAUAGGUUAAUGAGGCGAACCGGGGGAACUGAAACAUCUAAGUACCCCGAGGAAAAGAAAUCAACCGAGAUUCCCCCAGUAGCGGCGAGCGAACGGGGAGGAGCCCAGAGCCUGAAUCAGUGUGUGUGUUAGUGGAAGCGUCUGGAAAGGCGCGCGAUACAGGGUGACAGCCCCGUACACAAAAAUGCACAUGCUGUGAGCUCGAUGAGUAGGGCGGGACACGUGGUAUCCUGUCUGAAUAUGGGGGGACCAUCCUCCAAGGCUAAAUACUCCUGACUGACCGAUAGUGAACCAGUACCGUGAGGGAAAGGCGAAAAGAACCCCGGCGAGGGGAGUGAAAAAGAACCUGAAACCGUGUACGUACAAGCAGUGGGAGCACAGAGCAAUCUGUGUGACUGCGUACCUUUUGUAUAAUGGGUCAGCGACUUAUAUUCUGUAGCAAGGUUAACCGAAUAGGGGAGCCGAAGGGAAACCGAGUCUUAACUGGGCGUUAAGUUGCAGGGUAUAGACCCGAAACCCGGUGAUCUAGCCAUGGGCAGGUUGAAGGUUGGGUAACACUAACUGGAGGACCGAACCGACUAAUGUUGAAAAAUUAGCGGAUGACUUGUGGCUGGGGGUGAAAGGCCAAUCAAACCGGGAGAUAGCUGGUUCUCCCCGAAAGCUAUUUAGGUAGCGCCUCGUGAAUUCAUCUCCGGGGGUAGAGCACUGUUUCGGCAAGGGGGUCAUCCCGACUUACCAACCCGAUGCAAACUGCGAAUACCGGAGAAUGUUAUCACGGGAGACACACGGCGGGUGCUAACGUCCGUCGUGAAGAGGGAAACAACCCAGACCGCCAGCUAAGGUCCCAAAGUCAUGGUUAAGUGGGAAACGAUGUGGGAAGGCCCAGACAGCCAGGAUGUUGGCUUAGAAGCAGCCAUCAUUUAAAGAAAGCGUAAUAGCUCACUGGUCGAGUCGGCCUGCGCGGAAGAUGUAACGGGGCUAAACCAUGCACCGAAGCUGCGGCAGCGACGCUUAUGCGUUGUUGGGUAGGGGAGCGUUCUGUAAGCCUGCGAAGGUGUGCUGUGAGGCAUGCUGGAGGUAUCAGAAGUGCGAAUGCUGACAUAAGUAACGAUAAAGCGGGUGAAAAGCCCGCUCGCCGGAAGACCAAGGGUUCCUGUCCAACGUUAAUCGGGGCAGGGUGAGUCGACCCCUAAGGCGAGGCCGAAAGGCGUAGUCGAUGGGAAACAGGUUAAUAUUCCUGUACUUGGUGUUACUGCGAAGGGGGGACGGAGAAGGCUAUGUUGGCCGGGCGACGGUUGUCCCGGUUUAAGCGUGUAGGCUGGUUUUCCAGGCAAAUCCGGAAAAUCAAGGCUGAGGCGUGAUGACGAGGCACUACGGUGCUGAAGCAACAAAUGCCCUGCUUCCAGGAAAAGCCUCUAAGCAUCAGGUAACAUCAAAUCGUACCCCAAACCGACACAGGUGGUCAGGUAGAGAAUACCAAGGCGCUUGAGAGAACUCGGGUGAAGGAACUAGGCAAAAUGGUGCCGUAACUUCGGGAGAAGGCACGCUGAUAUGUAGGUGAAGCGACUUGCUCGUGGAGCUGAAAUCAGUCGAAGAUACCAGCUGGCUGCAACUGUUUAUUAAAAACACAGCACUGUGCAAACACGAAAGUGGACGUAUACGGUGUGACGCCUGCCCGGUGCCGGAAGGUUAAUUGAUGGGGUCAGCGCAAGCGAAGCUCUUGAUCGAAGCCCCGGUAAACGGCGGCCGUAACUAUAACGGUCCUAAGGUAGCGAAAUUCCUUGUCGGGUAAGUUCCGACCUGCACGAAUGGCGUAAUGAUGGCCAGGCUGUCUCCACCCGAGACUCAGUGAAAUUGAACUCGCUGUGAAGAUGCAGUGUACCCGCGGCAAGACGGAAAGACCCCGUGAACCUUUACUAUAGCUUGACACUGAACAUUGAGCCUUGAUGUGUAGGAUAGGUGGGAGGCUUUGAAGUGUGGACGCCAGUCUGCAUGGAGCCGACCUUGAAAUACCACCCUUUAAUGUUUGAUGUUCUAACGUUGACCCGUAAUCCGGGUUGCGGACAGUGUCUGGUGGGUAGUUUGACUGGGGCGGUCUCCUCCUAAAGAGUAACGGAGGAGCACGAAGGUUGGCUAAUCCUGGUCGGACAUCAGGAGGUUAGUGCAAUGGCAUAAGCCAGCUUGACUGCGAGCGUGACGGCGCGAGCAGGUGCGAAAGCAGGUCAUAGUGAUCCGGUGGUUCUGAAUGGAAGGGCCAUCGCUCAACGGAUAAAAGGUACUCCGGGGAUAACAGGCUGAUACCGCCCAAGAGUUCAUAUCGACGGCGGUGUUUGGCACCUCGAUGUCGGCUCAUCACAUCCUGGGGCUGAAGUAGGUCCCAAGGGUAUGGCUGUUCGCCAUUUAAAGUGGUACGCGAGCUGGGUUUAGAACGUCGUGAGACAGUUCGGUCCCUAUCUGCCGUGGGCGCUGGAGAACUGAGGGGGGCUGCUCCUAGUACGAGAGGACCGGAGUGGACGCAUCACUGGUGUUCGGGUUGUCAUGCCAAUGGCACUGCCCGGUAGCUAAAUGCGGAAGAGAUAAGUGCUGAAAGCAUCUAAGCACGAAACUUGCCCCGAGAUGAGUUCUCCCUGACUCCUUGAGAGUCCUGAAGGAACGUUGAAGACGACGACGUUGAUAGGCCGGGUGUGUAAGCGCAGCGAUGCGUUGAGCUAACCGGUACUAAUGAACCGUGAGG